AGUGAACGCUGGCGGUAGGCCUAACACAUGCAAGUCGAACGGCAGCACAGUAAGAUCUUGCUCUUACGGGUGGCGAGUGGCGGACGGGUGAGGAAUACAUCGGAAUCUACUUUUUCGUGGGGGAUAACGUAGGGAAACUUACGCUAAUACCGCAUACGACCUACGGGUGAAAGCAGGGGAUCUUCGGACCUUGCGCGAUUGAAUGAGCCGAUGUCGGAUUAGCUAGUUGGCGGGGUAAAGGCCCACCAAGGCGACGAUCCGUAGCUGGUCUGAGAGGAUGAUCAGCCACACUGGAACUGAGACACGGUCCAGACUCCUACGGGAGGCAGCAGUGGGGAAUAUUGGACAAUGGGCGCAAGCCUGAUCCAGCCAUACCGCGUGGGUGAAGAAGGCCUUCGGGUUGUAAAGCCCUUUUGUUGGGAAAGAAAAGCAGCAGGUUAAUACCCCGCUGUUCUGACGGUACCCAAAGAAUAAGCACCGGCUAACCUCGUG
rnacentral:rRNA from 1 species